rnacentral:tRNA from 1 species
GCGGGUGUGGCGGAACUGGCAGACGCACCAGAUUUAGGUUCUGGCGCAGAGAGGAGUGGGGGUUCGAGUCAAUUUCUGGGAAAAAAAAAUCAGCGCAAGACCCUCUGCCGGCC